GACAGAGGUGCCGAGCGUUAGGCGGAAUCACUGGGCUUAAAGCGUGUGUAGGCGGACUUCUAAGUACCUUGUGAAAUCCCACGGCUCAACCGUGGAACUGCUUGGUAUACUGGUUGUCUUGAGCCACUUAGGGGCAGUCGGAACAGACGGUGGAGCGGUGAAAUGCGCAGAUAUCGGGAGGAACACCAAUUGCGAAGGCAGCUCGCUGGGACGGUACUGACGCUGAGGCGCGAAAGCGUGGGGAGCAAACAGG
rnacentral:rRNA from 1 species